rnacentral:rRNA from 1 species
UAGGGAAUCUUCGGCAAUGGGGGCAACCCUGACCGAGCAACGCCGCGUGAGUGAAGAAGGUUUUCGGAUCGUAAAGCUCUGUUGUAAGAGAAGAACGAGUGUGAGAGUGGAAAGUUCACACUGUGACGGUAACUUACCAGAAAGGGACGGCUAACUACGUGCCAGCAGCCGCGGUAAUACGUAGGUGGCAAGCGUUGUCCGGAAUUAUUGGGCGUAAAGCGCGCGCAGGCGGAUUGGUCAGUCUGUCUUAAAAGUUCGGGGCUUAACCCCGUGAUGGGAUGGAAACUGCCAAUCUAGAGUAUCGGAGAGGAAAGUGGAAUUCCUAGUGUAGCGGUGAAAUGCGUAGAUAUUAGGAAGAACACCAGUGGCGAAGGCGACUUUCUGGACGAAAACUGACGCUGAGGCGCGAAAGCCAGGGGAGCGAACGGGAUUAGAUACCCCGGUAGUCCUGGCCGUAAACGAUGGGUACUAGGUGUAGGAGGUAUCGACCCCUUCUGUGCCGGAGUUAACGCAAUAAGUACCCCGCCUGGGGAGUACGACCGCAAGGUUG